rnacentral:misc_RNA from 1 species
UGUGAGUGGCGUCUGGUUGUGCGUGUCGGCAGGCUCCGUGCUAGAUGCAUCGAACUGUCGACCCGUGCUCCUCUUCAAUGUCUCCCCCGCGGUCGUUGUCCCUCGGGGGUGCAAUCGGGAUCCUGCGCUGCGUGCCUACCCCUACGGAAUUCGGAUGGCUCGUCGUCCCUCGUCCGUCUCGUGCCUUCAGGGGCUACGGGGCGGCCCCAAGCCGUGCCCCGUGUUUCGAGCCUGCCCCCGGAUUUGGUGCGGCCGUCUCGGUGCAUCGGUGCUCGAUCGUGCUUGCGGAUGCGGAAAUCUUUAUGGGCGUCCGGGCCACGGCCUCGUUCGUCCGACGCUACGCGUUUUGUCCCUCGACACGCACGACGGUCGCGCCCCGUCUUGGCCUCUUCGUCGCCCAGGCGACUCGUCGAGGCCCAUGCGAUGCCGACGUCGCG